CCUACGGGGGGCAGCAGUGAGGAAUAUUGGUCAAUGGACGAGAGUCUGAACCAGCCAAGUAGCGUGAAGGAUGACUGCCCUAUGGGUUGUAAACUUCUUUUAUAUGGGAAUAAAAUGUUCCACGUGUGGGAGUUUGUAUGUACCAUAUGAAUAAUGAUCGGCUAACCACGUGCCAGCAGCCGCGGUAAUACGGAGGGUCCGAGCGUUAUCCGGAUUUAUUGGGUUUAAAGGGUGCGUAGGUGGUUUGUUAAGUCAGUUGUGAAAGUUUGCGGCACAACCGUAAAAUUGCAGUUGAAACUGGCAGUCUUGAGUACAGUAGGGGUGGGCGGAAUUCGUGGUGUAGCGGUGAAAUGCUUAGAUAUCGCGAAGAACUCCGAUUGCGAAGGCAGCUCACUGGACUGCAACUGACACUGAGGCUCGAAAGUGUGGGUAUCGAACAGGAUUAGAUACCCGGGUAGUC
rnacentral:rRNA from 1 species